UACGAAGGGGGCUAGCGUUGUUCGGAAUUACUGGGCGUAAAGGGCGCGUAGGCGGCUUCGCUAGUCGGGCGUGAAAUGCCUGGGCUUAACCCGGGAAUUGCGUUCGAUACUUCGAGGCUAGAGUGUGGGAGAGGUUGGUGGAAUUCCCAGUGUAGAGGUGAAAUUCGUAGAUAUUGGGAAGAACACCGGUGGUGAAGGCGGCCAACUGGACCACAACUGACGCUGAGGCGCGAAAGCGUGGGGAGCAAACAGG
rnacentral:rRNA from 1 species